rnacentral:rRNA from 1 species
UACGUAGGGGGCAAGCGUUGUCCGGAAUCAUUGGGCGUAAAGCGCGUGUAGGCGGCUCGAUAAGUCUGCUGUGAAAGUCCAGGGCUCAACCCUGGGAUGCCGGUGGAUACUGUCGAGCUCGAGUCCGGAAGAGGCGAGUGGAAUUCCUGGUGUAGCGGUGAAAUGCGUAGAUAUCGGGAGGAACACCAGUGGCGAAGGCGACUACCUGGCCUGUUUCUUGACGCUGAGGCGCGAAAGCUAGGGGAGCAAACGGG